rnacentral:rRNA from 1 species
GAUGAACGCUAGCGGCAGGCCUAAUACAUGCAAGUCGAACGGUGUAGCAAUACACAGUGGCGCACGGGUGCGUAACACGUAUGCAACCUACCUAUUAUUGGGGGAUAGCCUUUGGAAACGGAGAUUAAUACCGCAUAAGACAGUGACAUGGCAUCAUGUAGCUGUUAAAGCUUUGGCGAUAAUAGAUGGGCAUGCGUCCAAUUAGUUAGUUGGUGAGGUAACGGCUCACCAAGACGAUGAUUGGUAGGGGAUCUGAGAGGAUAAUCCCCCACACUGGCACUGAGAUACGGGCCAGACUCCUACGGGAGGCAGCAGUAGGGAAUAUUGGGCAAUGGGCGGAAGCCUGACCCAGCCAUGCCGCGUGCAGGAUGAAGGCGUUAUGCGUUGUAAACUGCUUUUUUAUAGGAAGAAGAAUCCCUUGCGAGGGAAAGUGACGGUACUAUAAGAAUAAGCACCGGCUAACUCCGUGCCAGCCGCCGCCGUAAAAC